rnacentral:lncRNA from 1 species
GUACACAUGGAAAAUUUGAAAAAGAUAAAAAUAUGGUGAAUCUAUUAAGAAUAGAAGUGAAGUAAUAAGAUAAAUUUAAAAGUAAAAAAUACAAAUAUGAUAAUAGUCACUUUGUAGCUAUACUACAUUCUGGAAACUAGUAUACUCUUUUCAUUUACGGAACCAGCAUUGUGAUUGUGUUGCCCGGCAAUGCAAUGGCAUAAUGGUCUUAGCUUUCAGUACCAUGAGAAGACUUGAGUAAUACAAUUAUAAUCAAGUGAUUAUCUGGCUUGGUCUUUUGAACACAAACC